CUGGAGUUUCCUGGGCUAAAUUCAGAGGUUAGACCACAGUGCCUGACUGUACCCUGCCCAGGUGACAGGUGCUGAUUUCUCUUGGUUGAGCGAAGAGGCCUAAAUGUCCUGAGGCAGACAAGAGGCUGUGCUGGCCACGUUCAUGAAUGAGCCGGGGAGAAGUGACUCAGUCAUUGUGCGGAUGAAACACAAUGUCACCUCUUUUUCUGCUCACAGUACAAUGGCUGUACGUUAAAACUAUCACGGUGAUUUCAGUAAUUUCUACUGUUAAAUCUGCGUGUUUCCAGCUCUGCCCUGCUUCUUCUGCCUUCCUUUCCUAAAGGUCACCUCAGAAGAACCCGCCUACAAGGGGAACAGUAUUUUCCGUACCUGGGGAGCUGGGCAAAACGGAUGGCAGUUUGUGACCAGUCACUGGUGGAUGAUGUGCUUGAUCUUCAGUCCGGUAUAUGAAAGAGAGAGGCUAUGGCUGUGGUGGGAUUUGGACAAAGCCCUGGCUGAAGGAAUCAUCCACCUUGGGAGCAUGGUG
rnacentral:lncRNA from 1 species